rfam:Triticum aestivum genome assembly, contig: Triticum_aestivum_CS42_TGACv1_scaffold_457847_5DS
CUAAUACUCCCUCUGUCCGGAAAUACUUGUCGGCGAAAUGGAUACAAAUGGAUGUAUCUAGAACUAAAAUACAUCUAGAUACAUCCAUUCCUUGGACAAGUACUUCCGAACGGAGGGAGUAUAAG